rnacentral:rRNA from 1 species
GACGAACGCUGGCGGCGUGCUUAACACAUGCAAGUCGAACGGAAAGGCCCGCUUUUGUGGGGUUGUCGGGGUGGGAACGGGUUAGGAACACGUUAGUUAACCGCCCUUUACUUUUGGGUUACUUUCAGAAACCGGGGCCUAUUCCGGAUAGGGGGCUCUUCCUCCUUGGUGGGGGUGGAAAGUUUCGGCGGUUGGGGAUGGACUCGCGGCUUAUCAGCUUGUUGGUGGGGUAGUGGCUUACCAAGGCUUUGACGGGUAGCCGGCCUGAGAGGGUGACCGGCCACAUUGGGACUGAGAUACGGCCCAGACUCCUACGGGAGGCAGCAGUGGGGAAUAUUGCACAAUGGGCGGAAGCCUGAUGCAGCAACGCCGCGUGCGGGAUGACGGCCUUCGGGUUGUAAACCGCUUUCGCCUGUGACGAAGCGUGAGUGACGGUAAUGGGUAAAGAAGCACCGGCUAACUACGUG